rnacentral:rRNA from 1 species
GUGGGGAAUAUUGGACAAUGGGCGCAAGCCUGAUCCAGCCAUGCCGCGUGAGUGAUGAAGGCCUUAGGGUUGUAAAGCUCUUUCAGUGGGGACGAUAAUGACGGUACCCACAGAAGAAGCCCCGGCUAACUUCGUGCCAGCAGCCGCGGUAAUACGAAGGGGGCUAGCGUUGUUCGGAUUUACUGGGCGUAAAGCGCACGUAGGCGGAUCGUUAAGUCGGGGGUGAAAUCCUGGAGCUCAACUCCAGAACUGCCUUCGAUACUGGCGAUCUUGAGUCCGGAAGAGGUGAGUGGAACUCCUAGUGUAGAGGUGGAAUUCGUAGAUAUUAGGAAGAACACCAGUGGCGAAGGCGGCUCACUGGUCCGGUACUGACGCUGAGGUGCGAAAGCGUGGGGAGCAAACAGGAUUAGAAACCCCGGUAGUC